UACGUAGGUGGCAAGCGUUGUUCGGAAUUAUUGGGCGUAAAGGGCGCGUAGGCGGCUUGUUAAGUCGGCUGUGAAAUCUCCGGGCUUAACCCGGAAAGGUCAGCCGAUACUGCGGGGCUAGAGUGCAGAAGGGGCAACUGGAAUUCUCGGUGUAGCGGUGAAAUGCGUAGAUAUCGAGAGGAACACCUGCGGCGAAGGCGGGUUGCUGGGCUGACACUGACGCUGAUGCGCGAAAGCUAGGGGAGCGAACGGG
rnacentral:rRNA from 1 species